rnacentral:lncRNA from 1 species
CUGAAACUCAGUGACAUAUUUCCUAAUAUUUUGCGGAAAUAUCCAGUCUCUCCUUGUCAAGGCAUACAUUCGAGGGAUAUGUGUUUUCACCAGGGUAGGAGAAGCUUUGAAAAUAAGGUCUCUUAAGAUAUCAUCUGAUCCUGGACUCUAGAGGGCAGCACCAGGAGUACACUGAAGAGUGGAGGAACGCUUCUGGCCCAUGCGCAAGUUUCUAGUUGUGCCUUGCCAUUGCUGAAGAAUCUGCAGGUGGAUUGGCAAUCUCCAAAGCAGAACGUGAAGAAUAUCUGAUUACAACUGGCUAGGCACAAGGAAUGUACAACCCAAUGAACAAGGACUUUGUCUGCUUUUAUUCCUUUAUAUGUCUCCAGUACCUAAAACACUG